rnacentral:rRNA from 1 species
CUCGUAGGCGGUCUGUUGCGUCGGGAGUGAAAACUUACAGCUUAACUGUGGGCGUGCUUCCGAUACGGGCAGACUUGAGGUAUUCAGGGGAGAACGGAAUUCCUGGUGUAGCGGUGAAAUGCGCAGAUAUCAGGAGGAACACCGGUGGCGAAGGCGGUUCUCUGGGAAUAUCCUGACGCUGAGGAGCGAAAGUGUGGGGAGCGAACA